AAUAAAAGUGAUAAACCUAACUUCGCUCCCAUACAACCUGCCUGCGCGCAUUAUUUUAGAGCUACCAUUGCUGGAGUCUGUUUGAAGCACCCACCACAACUAAAGUGAGUACAACCAACACACAGACAAACACCGAUUUUCGACAUUUCAAUCUAAUUUCCCCCAAUUUGUCUUGAUGAUCUUCAAUCAUAGUUCAAUGUACUCAGUUAUCGUGAUUCUUCUUGUUUUUUCUCGCACGAGUUUUGAGGUUUCGUCGUCGUCGAUCGGAUCUCGUUCAAUUCUUCGCCAAAUUGGUGAUGAUACUGUAAAUAGCGGAUUUCAUGAUGUAGUUGUUGAAUUGAAUGAUACUAUUUUCAAGGAUGUUCUUCGUGAAACCCCUGCUAAUUUUGCCCUCGUCGAAUUUUUCGCUCACUGGUGCCCUGCAUGCAGAAACUAUAAGCCUCAUUAUGAAAAAGUCGCAAGGAUUUUUAAUGGGCCUGAUGCAGCACAUCCAGGAAUCCUUUUAAUGGCUAGGGUAGAUUGCGCCUCAAAGAUAAAUGCCAAACUAUGUGAUAGGUUUUCAGUGGAUCGGUACCCUAUGCUUCUUUGGAGCAGGCCUGAUAAAUUUGCUUCUGUGACUGCCUGGGACGGGAAAGACGGUGAUAUAACAUCAAUCAAGGAUGGGCGCACAGCUGAACGCUUGCUUGAUUGGAUUAAUAAGAAAAUGAAUAGCUCAUAUAAUUUUGAUGACAAGAAAUAUGAACAUGAACAUCUUCAAUCAAAAGCUUUAGUUCAUGAGCAGAUUGCACAAGCAGUUUAUGACGUUGAGGAAGCUACAUCUUCUGCUUUUGAUAUUAUUUUGCGGCAUAAGAUGAUUAAACCUGGGACCAAAGCUUCACUUGUGAGGUUUCUUCAACUUAUAACAGCUCAUCAUCCUUCACGAAGAUGCCGUAAAGGAAGUGCCGAGAUACUUGUCAACUUUGAUGACUUGUAUCCACCAGAGAUUAUGUCAGAUAAUAAAGAGAAAGGCAUUUCUGAAAAUGCUACGAACAUUCUUGGGAGUUUCCAGAUUUGUGGAAAACAUGUUCCCCGUGGAUACUGGAUGUUCUGCCGAGGAAGUAAGAAUGAUACCAGAGGCUUUAGUUGUGGGUUAUGGGUUUUGUUGCACUCCCUUUCUGUGAAGAUUGAAGAUGGAGAGAGCCACAUGGCAUUCACCACCAUAUGUGAUUUCAUUCACAAUUUUUUCUUGUGCGAGGAAUGUCGAAUCCAUUUUUUUGACAUGUGUUCUAGGGUCAAUACUCCUUUAAAUAGUACGCGUGACUUUGCCCUUUGGUUAUGGGAUGUGCAUAAUAAGGUCAAUGCAAGGCUAAGUAAAGAAGAAGCUGCUAUGGAGACUGGAGAUCCCAACUAUCCAAAGAUGAUCUGGCCUCUAAAGGAGCUUUGUCCUUCUUGUCAUCUCUCUUUGAUUUCAAAAAGUGACGUAAGCAGUCAAGUGAACUGGGACAAAGAAGAGGUGUUCAAGUUCUUGGCUAGUUACUACGGGAAAACAUUGCAUUCUGUAUACAAGGACAAAGACCUUCUUACGCAGGAUGUGGAUCAGCAUUCACAUUCUGAAGAACAGAUGGCAUCAACAAAUCCCUUUGUUGUGUCUAUUGGAGCAGCUCUUGCUCUUGCUGUUGCUAGCGCUGCAUUCGGGGCAUUGACUUGCUAUUGGCGUUGUCAUCAAAAGAGUCGAAAGUAUAGACAUCUACACUCUUUAAAGAACAUAUGACUAGUAGGAGGGUAAUGAGCUCUUUUUAAGAUGUCCGGACUUAAUCAACUGGAAUAAUAUAUUGGAAAAAAAAAGAAAAAAAAAACACUUGAAAGCCAAGAAGAAGCUGGAAUUGAGAUAAUUGAAGUAUUGAAGAAGUCAGUUAUGGAGUACAUUUUUCAGAAUGCACAGGCCACGCGAAUUGAAUAUGGAAAUCUGGGUUGAGAAUACCGUCUCAUACGGAGUACACCAUGGGUCUUUGCUGUAACAGUUUAUACAAUGUACAGAGCCAUCUGAGUUUGGUUGACAGUACAUUAUAAACUCACAAAUGUUGCCCACUUAGUCAGCAUUAGGUACACACAAAUCACACUUUCAAUGUUCAUUUUAUUUUUUCUGUACGGUGUGUACACAUUUUAGUACAAGUAUAGAAAACUACAUCACGAAAUUGGCUCUCAUGUCCUUUUACUGACUGCUUUCCUAUAGGAAUGUCUGUAAUGAUACCAUUUAGUUGGCUUCCAAUUUUCCGAGUGACAUAUUGUUUAGUUA